rnacentral:rRNA from 1 species
UUGGAGGGCAGUCUGGUGCCAGCAGCCGCGGUAAUUCCAGCUCCAAUAGCGUAUAUUAAAGUUGUUGUGGUUAAAAAGCUCGUAGUUGAACCUUGGGCCUGGCUGGCCGGUCCGCCUCACCGCGUGUACUGGUCCGGCCGGGCCUUUCCCUCUGUGGAACCCCAUGCCCUUCACUGGGUGUGGCGGGGAAACAGGACUUUUACUGUGAAAAAAUUAGAGUGCUCCAGGCAGGCCUAUGCUCGAAUACAUUAGCAUGGAAUAAUAGAAUAGGA